rnacentral:tRNA from 1 species
UCCCUGGUGGCUCAGAGGUUAAUGCGUCUGCCUCCAGUGCAGGAGACCUAGGUUCGAUCCCUGGGUCGGGAA